rnacentral:lncRNA from 10 species
GAUAUCAAGUGAUCUUCCCGCCUCGGCCUCCCAGAGUGCUGAGAUUACAGACGUGAACCCAUGCCUGGCCAGGAAUUUUGUUUUUUAGGAAGGCUUUCUACUAAUGGAAUUCCUGGCCUUGAGAGGAUGUUACUUUAGAAGGAAAGGAUUUUUUUGUUAUUAAAAGCUGGACCUACCAUGAAAGACUUCUGAAUCCAGGAAGAGAAACUGACUGGGCAACAUGUUAUUCAGAUGGGGUCUUCUUAUGUUGCCCAGGUUGGUCUCAAAUUCCUAGGCUCAAGUGAUUCUGCCCACCUCUGCCUCCCAAAGUGCUG